CCAGGGCCUUCUGUGUGCUGGGCAAGUGCUCUAUCACUGAGCUACACCCCUCCUGCUCUCAUUUAUUACCAUAAAGUCAUUUGGAUUUUAUAGGUAAAUAAUCACAUAAUUUUCUGUUUUGUAUUUCUUCAGCAUUUACAUAAGUUGUUUAAAUUUCUUAACUUUUGCAUUAACUAGAAAUUCUAAAAUGGGUAUUGAAUAAUUGGCGGUAAAAGCUGGCAUCUUGCUGGGCAUAGUAGCACACUCCUGUAGUCCCAGCGGAUUGAGAGGCAGAGGCAGGAGGAUUGCAAGUUUGAGGCCAGCCUCAGCAAUGGCAAGGUGCUAAGCAACUCAGUGAGAUCCUAUCUCUAAAUAAAGUAGGGGCUGGGGAUGUGGCUCAAGCGGUAGCACGUCUGCCUGGCAUGCGUGCGGCCCAGGUUCGAUCCUCAGCACCACAUACAAACAAAGAUGUUGUGUCUGCUGAAAAAAAAUAAAUAAAGAGAGAGUUUUUAAUAAAUAAAUAAAUAAAGUACACACUAAGGCUGAGGGUGUGGCUCAGUGGUAGAGUGUCCCUGAGUUUAAAAACAAACAAACAAACUGGAAUCUUGUUCAUGUUCCUGAAUUGGAAUUGUUUCUCAUCUCUUAAAAAUCAUGCAUGCUAUUAUUUUUUCAUUGGUCUAUUAUGUUUAAGUAGCUUUCUCAUAUUAUGUUAGAAUAAUUUUUAGAAAUAAUUGCUAGAAUUUAUCAAAUGUUUGGGUUUUCUUUUUAGUUUGCUGAUGUAUUGAAUUAUGUUCAUAAAUUUUUCUGAAGUUUAAUUUCCUUGGAUUCUUGGAAGAAAUCAAAUUUGGUCACACCCAUCACAGGCUCAUUUGUUUUCUUCUCAUUUACCCCAGGUGAACUGUGUGACAAAUCACACAUUAUCCUUUUGGUUCUGAACUAAAAAUCUGGGCACUGUUCUUAAAACCUCCCUUUCCCAAAGCUAUCUCAUCAGCACACUCUGUUGUAUCCAUGUCCAGAAUAGGUCUUUUUGCUUUUUAAAUUUUAAACAUUUUUAUCAUGGUAAAGUAUGCAUAAUAUGAAAUUUACAGUUUUGACCAUAUAAAGUGUAUAAUUCAAUGGCAUUAAGUACAGUUACAGUGUUUAAAUUUCAUUAAGUACAGUUACAUCAUCUGGCUCUAUUUCCAGAACUUGUUCAUCUUCCCAAAUAUCCAUUUAACACUAAGCCCAUGUUCCCCACUCCUCCCCAAGCCCCUGGUAACCUCUACUGUAUAUUUCAACUAUACAAUUUAACCCACUGUCAUGUAGGUUUAUUCACAUCACUCAUUACUUUGAGCUUUAUUUCUUUGUAGCUAUGAAGGAGAGAAAGUCCGAGGACUGUACGAAGGAGAAGGCUCUGCAGUCUUUCAAGGUGGUUGUACCUACCACGUGAGUCUCUGCUGGAACUUGCAGGGUGAGGAGGAAGGUGUGAGGUCAUAUGUUUUAAUUUGCAAGGUUUCCCAAAGAUCCAUUGAUUCUUCAAAAGAAAUUGGAAAUACUUCAUGCUGAUUUUAGCCUGAAUCUAUGCUACAUUUUUAAGGUAAAAAUGUGGCCCAGGGUAACUGAAAUGGUCACUUUAGAUUUUUUUUUCCCUCUGAUUUUUAUCUGUUGUUCUAAGAAUAUCAUUAAAGCAAAAACAGUUGUCCCUUGGUUAUCAUGGAGGAUUGGUUCCAGAUCCCCUCAGAUACCCAAAUCCUGGAAUGCUCAGAUCCCUUAUAUAAAAUAGUAUUUGCAUAUAUAUACACACUCAGAUACUUUAAAUCAUGUCUAGAUGACUUACAAUAUGUAACAUAAAUGUUAGGUAAAUGGAUGUUAUACUGUAUCAUUUAGGGAAGAGUGACAAGAAAAAAGAUGUGUCUUUAGUACAGGUGCAACCACAGUAGGCCUGGCUACAUAGUAGAUGUCAGCAUAGUAGAUAUCCAUCUGAGGUCAGUUCCAUUUACAGACUUGGAAGCCAUGGAUAUAGAGGCCAAUUGUGAUGAAGAAUAAAAUCUCAGUAUUUCC
rnacentral:lncRNA from 1 species